rnacentral:rRNA from 1 species
UAGGGAAUCUUCCGCAAUGGACGCAAGUCUGACGGAGCAACGCCGCGUGAGUGAAGAAGGUUUUCGGAUCGUAAAACUCUAUUGUUAGAGAAGAACAAGUGCUAGAGUAACUGUUAGCGCCUUGACGGUAUCUAACCAGAAAGCCACGGCUAACUACGUGCCAGCAGCCGCGGUAAUACGUAGGUGGCAAGCGUUGUCCGGAUUUAUUGGGCGUAAAGCGAGCGCAGGCGGUUCCUUAAGUCUGAUGUGAAAGCCCCCGGCUCAACCGGGGAGGGUCAUUGGAAACUGGGGAACUUGAGUGCAGAAGAGGAGAGUGGAAUUCCAUGUGUAGCGGUGAAAUGCGUAGAUAUAUGGAGGAACACCAGUGGCGAAGGCGACUCUCUGGUCUGUAACUGACGCUGAGGCUCGAAAGCGUGGGUAGCAAACAGGAUUAGAUACCCUGGUAGUCCACGCCGUAAACGAUGAGUGCUAAGUGUUGGAGGGUUUCCGCCCUUCAGUGCUGCAGUUAACGCAUUAAGCACUCCGCCUGGGGAGUACGACCGCAAGGUUG